rnacentral:rRNA from 1 species
GCCAGACUCCUACGGGAGGCAGCAGUGGGGGAUAUUGCACAAUGGGGGGAACCCUGAUGCAGCGACGCCGCGUGGGUGAAGGAGUGCUUCGGCAUGUAAAGCCCUAUCGGCAGGGAAGAAGCAAGACGGUACCUGACUAAGAAGCCCCGGCUAACUACGUGCCAGCAGCCGCGGUAAUACGUAGGGGGCGAGCGUUAUCCGGAUUCACUGGGUGUAAAGGGAGCGUAGACGGCGAUGCAAGCCAGAUGUGAAAGCCCGGGGCUCAACCCCGGGACUGCAUUUGGAACUGUGUGGCUGGAGUGUCGGAGAGGCAGGCGGAAUUCCUAGUGUAGCGGUGAAAUGCGUAGAUAUUAGGAGGAACACCAGUGGCGAAGGCGGCCUGCUGGACGAUGACUGACGUUGAGGCUCGAAAGCGUGGGGAGCAAACAGGAUUAGAUACCCUGGUAC